UGGAGCUCCACCGCGGUGGCGGCCGCUCUAGCCCAGGUCUUCGGACGCUGACGAGUGGCGAACGGGGUGAGUAAUACAUCGGAACGUGCCCAGUCGUGGGGGAUAACUACUCGAAAGAGUAGCUAAUACCGCAUACGAUCUGAGGAUGAAAGCGGGGACCUUCGGCCUCGCGCGAUUGGACGGCCGAUGGCAGAUUAGGUAGUUGGUGGGAUAAAAGCUUACCAAGCCGACGAUCUGUAGUUGAUCUGAGAGGACGACCAGCCACACUGGGACUGAGACACGGCCCAGACUCCUACGGGAGGCAGCAGUGGGGAAUUUUGGACAAUGGGCGAAAGCCUGAUCCAGCAAUGCCGCGUGCAGGAUGAAGGCCUUCGGGUUGUAAACUGCUUUUGUACGGAACGAAAAAGCUUCUCCUAAUACGAGAGGCCCAUGACGGUACCGUAAGAAUAAGCACCGGCUAACUACGUGCCAGCAGCCGCGGUAAUUCGGGC
rnacentral:rRNA from 1 species